rnacentral:rRNA from 1 species
UACGUAGGGGCAAGCGUUGUCCGGAAUCAUUGGGCGUAAAGCGCGUGUAGGCGGUUUGGUAAGUCCGCUCUGAAAGUCCCGGGGCUCAACCCCGGAAGGCGGGUGGAUACUGUCAGACUAGAGUGCGGAAGAGGCGAGUGGAAGUUCCCGGUGUAGCGGUGAAAUGCGCAGAUAUCGGGAGGAACACCAAUUGCGAAGGCAGCUCGCUGGGACGUAAC